rnacentral:tRNA from 5 species
CCUAUUGUAGCGGGUAUAGUUUAGUGGUAAAAG